AACAAAAACACACUCUCAUAUUUCGUAUUCACAAUUCACAAACCCUAAUAUACUGCCUCCGCUCUUUUUUUCAUCCGCUUCCUUUAAACCCUAAUUUCAGUUUCAUAUUACCAUUGAUUGGUGCUCCGUUUCUUCUUCUUAUGACAGACUAAGUUUUAUGAGAGACAAUCAAGUUUCUACUCUUCAAAGCCUAAUUGGUUCAGCAGCGUCUUCCUCUGCAAUAAUCAUAUCGACAAAACCAAGAGCGCUAUCCAAAUCAUAAAAGGUAGAGAUCAUUGCUUUGGUUUCAGAUGGCUAAAACCCUCUUGGAAUCGGUCAGUCACAACUAGAGUUAAGGCGAUCUAUCUUCAUCCUAAGAUGAUUUAUUCUAAUAUUUGAUGAUGCAAAUUGUUUUUGAAACGUAUUUGAGCUUAUGUUAAGAGAUACGAUUCAGGUUUUUAGAAUUAAACCCUAUAUCUCUCAUAUGUGAUAUUUUUUUUGAAUCACCUCUUCCAUUCUUGGUCCCUAUUAACGCUUUCUUAUUGUGUGCCAUCACUGAAACAUACCACGUCAAGCAAGGGUGUUAAUGUCUCUGAAGUUAUCAGCCUCCGGCUUCUUUGACCGGUGACUGAUACGAUUGAGAUGCUGGUUCGUAUGUGACAUAAAGGUGUUUGUGGAUGUGACACGGGCACCAGCAAUGGUAAAGUGGUGGAGGAAAUCAAGCUUAACUCUUUCUGGUGGAUGCAGAGGAGGUCUCGAGCUGCAGGGAUUGAUCUUGAUGGAUGUUAUAAGUUUGCGGGGCUUGGUAUAAGUUAAUGUAGUUCUGGUUGUGUACGGCUGUAUGUGUAUUGUCUUCCUUUUGGUGUAACUUUGGGCCUGUUAGUUUCUUGCUAAGAUGUCCUUUAUUUGAUUGUUGCAACUGUUGCGUUCAGAAUGGGGUUGAUAAAGUGACAUUGGAGCUGUAAUUCACUACAGUUUACCUGAAAGUUUCGAAGAGUAUGUUUAGAAAAUUGGACGUGCUGGGCGCGAUGAGCGAGUAUCUUAUUGCCAUUUUUUAUGCACUGCAUACUUUAAGCUCUUUAAGCUCUGAAGUCUUAUGUACAGGAGCUUAAUAAGGUGGCGGUGUUACAAAUAUCCGUGCCAUUAAAUGCUACAAAAAGCAAUUGUUCGAACAACAAUAGGAGCCACUUUAUAUGCUCUUCCGAACACGACUCGCUUAUAUGGAGAGUAGACCAUUCCCGGGUAACAAGAGUACAAGUUAUGGGCCGAAUUCGAACUCCCAAGUGUCGCUUAAGAUAGGAAAUCAUUUGUAGAUCUUACAACUUCUGCCACAUCUUGAAGACAGGAUGAUUCUUUCAGCAUAUUGAAAGGAUUCGUUGUUAACCAGGUGUCACUUGAUUAGAGCCUCUUUGGUUCCAUGUUGGCGCAAUUUACUUUGGGUUAUCGUUCUCAUUAGUGAAGCCCCAUUUGACUAACCCGGUCACAUGUUAUCAUCCAUGAAGGCUCCGAAGAAGAAUAUCCCGGUAGCAACAAAGAAGAAAAUGGUAACCCACAAAUCGUCAUGACAUUCAAUGAGGCUUUCAUGUUCAACACCAUGAGUAGAACCUUUUCUGAACAUGAUAUUGAGGAGGUCCACGCCUAUCAUCCAUCGUCAUUAAACAAGCCUGGUAUGCUUUUUUGUUAUUAUUUUUUUUGUAAGUGUAUUUUGUCUUGAUUACAAUUACCUUAGUGAGUUAUUGAAUCCAUCAUUGAACUUUUUUCUGUUUGUCAUUUUAAUUUUUGAUUAUUGUGAAUGUGAUAUCAUUUGUA